rnacentral:misc_RNA from 1 species
UAGCUGGAAUUAUAUCGAAGGAAAUGCAAAAGGAAUCUGUAGUGGUGUUUGAUGAGGCGCAUAAUAUUGAUAAUGUCUGUAUUGAAGCACUUAGUGUUAGUGUGAGAAGCAAGACACUUGAUGGGGCUUCCAGAAAUCUGUCAAGGAUAAAUCAGGAGAUUGAGAGGUUCAAGGCCACUGAUGCUGGUAGAUUGCGUGCUGAAUAUAACCGGCUUGUUGAGGGUUUGGCACAGCGGGGAAACCUGGCUGCCACAGAUACAUGGCUUGCAAACCCUGCCUUGCCUGAUGAUAUUCUGAAGGAGGCAGUUCCUGGCAAUAUUCGUCGAGCGGAGCAUUUUCUGCAUGUCUUACGUAGAUUGGUUCAAUACCUGAGAGGGCGGUUGGAUACUGAAAAUGUUGAGAAGGAAAGUCCUAUUAACUUUGUUGCCUCUUUAAAUACCCAUGCUGGAAUUGACCAGAAAACAUUGAAGUUUUGUUAUGAUCGCCUACACUCACUUAUGCUGACACUGGAAAUAACGGACACAGAUGAGUUCUUACAUAUCCAAACAAUAUGUGACUUUGCAACACUUGUGG